GCCCCGAAGGGAAAGUGGCUGCAAAAAAAUCACUGCAGAUGUCUGGAUAUGAGACUUGCCAAGGUCUUAAAAAAGAAGAGGUAGACAGAUGGUACUCAUGCCUUGAUGGACAACGGCAGAAAGCCAAGUUUUCAGCUUCCAAAAUAGCAAGGAGUUCUGGAAAGAAAUAUAGGAUGCUGAUAUAAAAAAGCAAUAUGUCAUCUGGAUACAUAGAUAUCUUUAAGGGAUAUAAUCCAAUAA